rnacentral:rRNA from 1 species
UGCGUAGGCGGCCAGAUCAGUCAGGCGUGAAAGUUUUCGGCUUAACCGGAAAAUUGCGUUUGAUACUGUUUGGCUAGAAUCAGGAUGAGGUUGGCGGAAUGUGGCAUGUAGCGGUGAAAUGCAUAGAUAUGCCAUAGAACACCGACUGCGAAGGCAGCUGGCUGGACCUGAAUUGACGCUGAGGCACGAAAGCGUGGGGAGCAAACAGGAUUAGAUACCCUGGUAGUCC